GCCUGGGUAGCUUAGCCUGGUAAAGCGCGUCCUUGGUAAGGACGAGAGCCCGGGUUCAAAUCCCGGCCUAGGCU
rnacentral:tRNA from 1 species